rnacentral:rRNA from 1 species
GACGAACGCUGGCGGCGUGCCUAAUACAUGCAAGUAGAACGCUGAAGGAGGAGCUUGCUUCUCUGGAUGAGUUGCGAACGGGUGAGUAACGCGUAGGUAACCUGCCUGGUAGCGGGGGAUAACUAUUGGAAACGAUAGCUAAUACCGCAUAACAGUAGAUAUCGCAUGAUAUCUACUUGAAAGGUGCAAUUGCAUCACUACCAGAUGGACCUGCGUUGUAUUAGCUAGUUGGUGAGGUAACGGCUCACCAAGGCGACGAUACAUAGCCGACCUGAGAGGGUGAUCGGCCACACUGGGACUGAGACACGGCCCAGACUCCUACGGGAGGCAGCAGUAGGGAAUCUUCGGCAAUGGACGGAAGUCUGACCGAGCAACGCCGCGUGAGUGAAGAAGGUUUUCGGAUCGUAAAGCUCUGUUGUAAGAGAAGAACGAGUGUGAGGGUGGAAAGUUCACACUGUGACGGUAUCUGACCAGAAAGGGACGGCUAACUACGUG